GGUCUUAUGGUCUAGUGGUAUGAUUCUCGCUUAGGGAUCACCCUGAGUCAAUUUGCGAGAGGCCCCGCGUUCGAGUCGCGGUAAGACCC